rnacentral:rRNA from 1 species
UACGUAGGGGGCAAGCGUUGUCCGGAAUCACUGGGCGUAAAGCGCGCGCAGGCGGUUUGGUAAGUCUGGGGUGAAAACCCGAAGCUCAACUUCGGGAGUGCCUGAGAAACUGCCAGACUUGAGAACUUCAGAGGCAAGGGGAAUUCCACGUGUAGCGGUGAAAUGCGUAGAGAUGUGGAGGAACACCAGUGGCGAAGGCGCCUUGCUGGGAAGUCACUGACGCUGAGGCGCGAAAGCGUGGGGAGCAAACAGG